CGCGUAGGCGGUCAGGCAAGUCGGAUGUGAAAUCCCUCGGCUCAACCGAGGAACUGCAUCCGAAACUGCCCGACUUGAGUCCCGGAGAGGGUAGCGGAAUUCCCAGUGUAGCGGUGAAAUGCGUAGAUACUGGGAGGAACACCAGUGGCGAAGGCGGCUACCUGGACGGUGACUGACGCUGAGGCGCGAAAGCGUGGGGAGCAAACAGGAUUAGAUACCCUGGUAGUC
rnacentral:rRNA from 1 species